rnacentral:rRNA from 1 species
GUCGAGUCGGCCUGCGCGGAAGAUGUAACGGGGCUAAACUGUGCACCGAAGCUGCGGCAGCGACACUAUGUGUUGUUGGGUAGGGGAGCGUUCUGUAAGCCUGCGAAGGUGGCCUGUGAGGGUUGCUGGAGGUAUCAGAAGUGCGAAUGCUGACAUAAGUAACGAUAAUGCGGGUGAAAAGCCCGCACGCCGGAAGACCAAGGGUUCCUGUCCAACGUUAAUCGGGGCAGGGUGAGUCGACCCCUAAGGCGAGGCCGAAAGGCG